rnacentral:rRNA from 1 species
GGGAACCUGCCUCAAAGAGGGGACGAACAGUUGGAAACGACUGCUAAUACCGCAUAAGCCCACGGCUCGGCAUCGAGCAGAGGGAAAAGGAGUGAUCCGCUUUGAGAUGGCCUCGCGUCCGAUUAGCUGGUUGGUGAGGUAACGGCCCACCAAGGCGACGAUCGGUAGCCGGACUGAGAGGUUGAACGGCCACAUUGGGACUGAGACACGGCCCAG